rnacentral:rRNA from 1 species
GGGGCACGGUUGCAAAGGUAACCUGCAGCUUAAUUGACCUCAGGGCGCCACAACUCGUGCGGCCCGGACACCAAUUUGACUGACCGACUGAAAACUCUUUCGGACCGGAGAGGGUGGGGGUGGAUGGACUGUCUUAUCUGUCGUAGCGAUUUGGCUGGUGAAGUCCGAUCACUCUUAAUAGUCGGACCUAUUUGACAGACUAAGUCCCAUAAAGAAUAACACGCUGCUCAAAGGGACAAGCGAUGUCUAGCCAAGUGAAAUACGCUUCUUACAGGGCUGUGAUGCCCUUAGACGCCCGGAACUGAACACGCGCUAGACUGAAAUAACCUUAGAUGGCCUUGCCUACACCGGAACGAUUGUGAAACCAUCGGUGAUUCUUUCGCGCUUGCCAUAAGGAAUGGCAAUUCUUUCCCUUAUCUUACGAGCUCGCAGUAGAUGCUUGUCAUUAUCUCGCUUAGAUUACGACUUUGCCCUUUGUGCGCACCGUCCGCUCGUGCUACUUACUGCAUUGCUCAUUGA